AGCGAACGCUGGCGGCAGGCUUAACACAUGCAAGUCGAGCGGCCAGUCAGGGGAGUCGCCGGCGGACGGGUGACGAAUGGGAGGGUACGUGUUCGCUCGGUCGGACUAACGGAGACAGACUUUAGCAAAUACUGAGUACUACCUGGGGGGGAAAGGCUUGCUGCCGGAGGAUCGGCGCGCGUCUGAUUAGCUAGUUGGUUAGGUAACGGCUCACCAAGGCGACGAUCAGUAGCUGGUCUGAGAGGAUGAUCAGCCACACUGGGACUGAGACACGGCCCAGACUCCUACGGGAGGCAGCAGUGGGGAAUAUUGGACAAUGGGCGCAAGCCUGAUCCAGCCAUGCCGCGUGAGUGAUGAAGGCCUUAGGGUUGUAAAGCUCUUUUAUCCGGGACGAUAAUGACGGUACCGGAAGAAUAAGCCCCGGCUAACUUCGUG
rnacentral:rRNA from 1 species